AUGAGAGUCACAGCAAAACUUGUUUGUGUGAAAAUGAACAUGGCCUCAGGUUUCUGUAAGGCAAUGUUGGAACAAGAAGUCAGCAGAAUGCAGAGCAGCAGCAUGCAUAUUCAUUGUGAGUACAUGAGGCUCACUCUGAGAUCCUGAAAUAAAAACUCUCUGAUAUA